GAGAGAGACAUUGAGAGAGAGAGAGAGAGAGAGAGAGAGACAUUGAGAGAGAGAGCGAGAGAUUCAGAGAGGAACAUUCAGAGAUUGAGGGACAUUCAGAGAUAGAGGGACAUUAAGAGAUUGAGAGAAGAAAAGGGACAUUCAGAGAUUGAGCUAGCUGGGUGAAGCACUUAAUUGAAAGCUUAGUUCCUUAAUUGUAUAUGAAAGACAGUAUGCAACCCAAAUGUCACCAUACUCCCUACAUCAGGGAUAUUCAACUCCUACCCUACGAGGUCCGGAGCCUGAUAGUUUUUUGUUCUAUCCGAUAACGAAUUGCACACCUGGUGUCCCAGGACUAAAUGGUUCCCUGAUUAGAGGGAAACAAUGAAAAAAUGCAAUGGAACUGUCUUCCAGAGUUGAGUUGGAGAGCCCUACGUAGUGCACUACGGGUCUUCCAGAGUUGAGUUGGAGAGCCCUACGUAGUGCACUACGGGUCUUCCAGAGUUGAGUUGGAGAGCCCUACGUAGUGCACUACGGGUCUUCCAGAGUUGAGUUGGAGAGCCCUACGUAGUGCACUACGGGUCUUCCAGAGUUGAGUUGGAGAGCCCUACGUAGUGCACUACGGGUCUUCCAGAGUUGAGUUGGAGAGCCCUACGUAGUGCACUACGGGUCUUCCAGAGUUGAGUUGGAGAGCCCUACGUAGUGCACUACGGAGGGAAUAGGGUGCCAUUUGGAGCGUAGAUUCAUUAUUUUGGUUUAAACAAAGAUCCCAACAUCCUCCGAAAGAGUUUUAAUCGUGGGAACAAUCACCCUGCAAGCCAUGGCUAUAUUAUACAUAUUAUAUUACUCUAAAUGAUUAUAUUAUAUUAGGAAUAAAAUUUUAGCUCAAUUCUCUACAUGAGCAUGCUACUGUGUGUUCUCUACCCGUGGGGUGGUGGGUGACUACACAGGGAAAGAGUUGGUUGUGAAUAGGUUUGAAAAUGUUUUCUAAACUUCCAGGUCUUCCCCCAGAAAAUCCUGGUUUGGAGGUUUUCAUAUUGAGACAACAAGCAGAACAUCCAGGAAUAUUUCUUCAAGGUUUUAUGGAAAACCCUGGGAAUUGUAGAAAAUGAAUGUCAUUUUGCAACCCUAGUUGGGAGGUGGUCGGUUGUUUAUUUACCAGUUGGAAGACGGACGAUCAAUUUUUUUCUUACUACUAUUACUGCUGUCUGCCUGCCUGUCAUGUAUAGACCCCGUUCACACCGACGACAUCUGUAAUCUGUAUAGCUGAAGGUUGUGAGGCCUAAAUGAAAGGUCAUUUCACCUUUGAGCCGAACAUAUGGAGUCUCUGCUAACACGGGAACAUUGCCUUUAGAUUCCAAUCACGCUGAACUUCAGCCAUACAGAUGGAACCCAGACCUUAGGUUGCACAAUUGAUGCACAACGCAGUUGGUACAACGGUUGUGAUACAAUUUAUAUAUUUUACUAAUACUUCAUGCUGAAAAAUCCUCUGUUGUAUCACAACCGUUGUACCAAAUGUGUUGUACAACAGUUGUAUGACUCGAGUGUGGGGUCAUAUCGACGAGAGGAAGGUUGUUAUAGCAUUAGCUAUUAUAAGAGGUUAUAAGCUGUAGCUGUUAAAAGCUGUAACUGUAGCUAUUAUAAGAGGUUAUAAUAUAUAGCUGUUGGAAGAGGUUAUUAUAAGCUCUAGCUGUUGGAAGAGGUUAUAAGCUCUAGCUGUUGGAAGAGGUUAUAAGCUCUAGCUGUUGGAAGAGGUUAUAAGAUAUAGCUGUUGGAAGAGGUUAUAAGAUAUAGCUGUUGGAAGAGGUUAUAAGAUAUAGCUGUUGGAAGAGGUUAUAAGAUAUAGCUGUUGGAAGAGGUUGUAAGAUAUAGCUGUUGGAAGAGGUUAUAAGCUCUAGCUGUUGGAAGAGGUUAUAAGCUCUAGCUGUUGGAAGAGGUUAUAAGCUCUAGCUGUUGGAAGAGGUUAUAAGCUCUAGCUGUUGGAAGAGGUUAUAAGCUCUAGCUGUUGGAAGAGGUUAUAAGCUCUAGCUGUUGGAAGAGGUUAUAAGCUCUAGCUGUUGGAAGAGGUUAUAAGCUCUAGCUGUUGGAAGAGGUUAUAAGCUCUAGCUGUUGGAAGAGGUUAUAAGCUCUAGCUGUUGGAAGAGGCUAUAAGCUCUAGCUGUUGGAAGAGGUUAUAAGAUAUAGCUGUUGGAAGAGGUUAUAAGCUCUAGCUGUUGGAAGAGGUUAUAAGCUCUAGCUGUUGGAAGAGGUUAUACGCUCUAGCUGUUGGAAGAGGUUAUACGCUCUAGCUGUUGGAAGAGGUUAUAAGCUCUAGCUGUUGGAAGAGGUUAUAAGCUCUAGCUGUUGGAAGAGGUUAUAAGCUCUAGCUGUUGGAAGAGGUUAUAAGCUCUAGCUGUUGGAAGAGGUUAUAAGCUCUAGCUGUUGGAAGAGGUUAUAAGCUCUAGCUGUUGGAAGAGGUUAUAAGCUCUAGCUGUUGGAAGAGGUUAUAAGCUCUAGCUGUUGGAAGAGGUUAUAAGCUCUAGCUGUUGGAAGAGGUUAUAAGAUAUAGCUGUUGGAAGAGGUUAUAAGAUAUAGCUGUUGGAAGAGGUUAUAAGAUAUAGCUGUUGGAAGAGGUUAUAAGAUAUAGCUGUUGGAAGAGGUUGUAAGAUAUAGCUGUUGGAAGAGGUUAUAAGCUCUAGCUGUUGGAAGAGGUUAUAAGCUCUAGCUGUUGGAAGAGGUUAUAAGCUCUAGCUGUUGGAAGAGGUUAUAAGCUCUAGCUGUUGGAAGAGGUUAUAAGUUCUAGCUGUUGGAAGAGGUUAUAAGCUCUAGCUGUUGGAAGAGGUUAUAAGCUCUAGCUGUUGGAAGAGGUUAUAAGCUCUAGCUGUUGGAAGAGGUUAUAAGCUCUAGCUGUUGGAAGAGGUUAUAAGCUCUAGCUGUUGGAAGAGGUUAUAAGCUCUAGCUGUUGGAAGAGGUUAUAAGCUCUAGCUGUUGGAAGAGGUUAUAAGCUCUAGCUGUUGGAAGAGGUUAUAAGAUAUAGCUGUUGGAAGAGGUUAUAAGCUCUAGCUGUUGGAAGAGGUUAUAAGAUAUAGCUGUUGGAAGAGGUUAUAAGAUAUAGCUGUUGGAAGAGGUUAUAAGUUCUAGCUGUUGGAAGAGGUUAUAAGCUCUAGCUGUUGGAAGAGGUUUUAAGCUCUAGCUGUUGGAAGAGGUUAUAAGAUAUAGCUGUUGGAAGAGGUUGUAAGAUAUAGCUGUUGGAAGAGGUUAUAAGCUCUAGCUGUUGGAAUAGGUUAUAAGAUAUAGCUGUUGGAAGAGGUUAUAAGCUCUAGCUGUUGGAAGAGGUUAUAAGCUCUAGCUGUUGGAAUAGGUUAUAAGAUAUAGCUGUUGGAAGAGGUUAUAAGAUAUAGCUGUUGGAAGAGGUUGUAAGAUAUAGCUGUUGGAAGAGGUUAUAAGCUCUAGCUGUUGGAAGAGGUUAUAAGCUCUAGCUGUUGGAAGAGGUUAUAAGCUCUAGCUGUUGGAAGAGGUUAUAAGAUAUAGCUGUUGGAAGAGGUUGUAAGAUAUAGCUGUUGGAAGAGGUUAUAAGCUCUAGCUGUUGGAAGAGGUUAUAAGAUAUAGCUGUUGGAAGAGGUUAUAAGCUCUAGCUGUUGGAAGAGGUUAUAAGAUAUAGCUGUUGGAAGAGGUUAUAAGCUCUAGCUGUUGGAAGAGGUUAUAAGCUCUAGCUGUUGGAAGAGGUUAUAAGCUCUAGCUGUUGGAAGAGGUUAUAAGCUCUAGCUGUUGGAAGAGGUUAUAAGCUCUAGCUGUUGGAAGAGGUUAUAAGCUCUAGCUGUUGGAAGAGGUUAUAAGCUCUAGCUGUUGGAAGAGGUUAUACGCUCUAGCUGUUGGAAGAGGUUAUAAGCUCUAGCUGUUGGAAGAGGUUAUAAGAUAUAGCUGUUGGAAGAGGUUAUAAGCUCUAGCUGUUGGAAGAGGUUAUAAGAUAUAGCUGUUGGAAGAGGUUAUAAGCUCUAGCUGUUGGAAGAGGUUAUAAGAUAUAGCUGUUGGAAGAGGUUAUAAGAUAUAGCUGUUGGAAGAGGUUAUAAGAUAUAGCUGUUGGAAGAGGUUAUAAGCUCUAGCUGUUGGAAGAGGUUAUAAGCUCUAGCUGUUGGAAGAGGUUAUAAGCUCUAGCUGUUGGAAGAGGUUAUAAGCUCUAGCUGUUGGAAGAGGUUAUAAGAUAUAGCUGUUGGAAGAGGUUAUAAGCUCUAGCUGUUGGAAGAGGUUAUAAGAUAUAGCUGUUGGAAGAGGUUAUAAGCUCUAGCUGUUGGAAGAGGUUAUAAGCUCUAGCUGUUGGAAGAGGUUAUAAGCUCUAGCUGUUGGAAGAGGUUAUAAACUCUAGCUGUUGGAAGAGGUUAUAAGCUCUAGCUGUUGGAAGAGGUUAUAAGCUGUAGCUGUUGGAAGAGGUUAAAAGCUCUAGCUGUUGGAAGAGGUUAUAAGAUAUAGCUGUUGGAAGAUGUUAUAAGCUCUAACUCAUCACAUACAGCAGUAUACGGUAUAUGGCCAGGAGGGUUUCUACAGCCUAAUUCAUACCGUACACAAAAAUACAACGCAAGAACACAAUUAGUUACUCAGAAUCCUGCAUAGUUGCGUCGAGUUACUCCAGAGCUACGGACAUUUGCAUAUUUUUGCUAUGCAAGUACACAGAACAGCCAUUUUGCAAAUAUGAUAAUAUUAUUGUGUAUGGUCCACAUCAGGCUCAACACAGAGUCAUGUGACUGGUCCAAAGGAAGAAGAUCAGGUAGCAUGCUAGCAGAUACCCAUAGACCUCCAGUCAUCGCGCUAACACUUGUUAGCAUUGGCUCACCAAACUACCUCUUAACUUCCUUCACACUGGACACAGAGACAUUACAAUGGUGUCCAUGAGUUCGUCUGACUCCGGGGAAGUAGAUAAAGGGUCUUAAUGCCAAAAUCCCCAAGUAUCCCUAUAAUAAUAAUAUAAAUUAAAACAAACAUAUUAAUGACGAGCAACUAGUUGGCUGAAAUAGCACCCUGUUCCCUAUAAAGUCCACUACCGCUACUUUAGUGCUCUAUUGUGGUCCUAAAUAGUGGGUUAUAUAGGGGAACAGGGUACCAUUCGGGGACAAAUGAAUUGUUUCUUAACUGGUUUUCAGACGAGGUGUUUUUUCUUACUUUGCAAUAUAUCAACAAAUACCUUUUGCAGUGUUUUCAACAUCUAUCUAUCAUGUCUUAUUGCUCGUCUGUUCAAGACGUCUCCUGUUUUCAGAGAACAAUUCUAGACAUCAAUGCAGAAUACAGCUAUAGAAUUCUAGACAUCAAUACAGAAUACAGCUAUAGAAUUCUAGACAUCAGUGUAGAAUACAACUAUAGAAUUCUAGACAUCAGUUUAGAAUACAGCUAUAGAAUUCUAGACAUCAGUGCAGAAUACAGCUAUAGAAUUCUAGACAUCAAUACAGAAUACAGCUAUAGAAUUCUAGACAUCAAUGCAGAAUACAGCUAUAGAAUUCUAG